GUUCCUUCUGUGGCGCAACGGCUCAGUGCAUCUCACGGUUAAUCAGAAGGUUGGUGGUUCGAACUCACCCAGGGACA